rnacentral:tRNA from 2 species
GGCGUGGUACCCAAGUGGUCAGGGAGCGGUCUGCAAAACCGCUAUACGCGGGUUCGAAUCCCGCCCACGCCU